UAUAGCUUUAAAUCUAGCCUUUUUUAAUUUCACUUUGCUUAUUUUUUCCUUUUUAUAUCCUACAUGUAUUUUUUGGUAUUUUUUAAGACAAAUCGAACAAAAAGUAUAUUUGUAGUACAUAUUUUGGUGUAUCAUGGUAUUUUAGAAUUUAUUUAUGGUUUAUUUUCGUUGAAAAGUUUCGGUCUAUACAGAAACUUGGUUGGUGAUCGUGAAAUGUGUAAAUGUGUAAAACAUGCCAAAAACAGUUUACAAACAAAACUUUCAUCGACAAGCAUCGAUUUCCUCAAAAAUAAAAUAAUACCGCCUGAUGCAAAGAUUGAUGUCUUGAAAGAUGACUUGGAUGAAUUUGCUGUGUCUUCAUUAUAUAUGGGAUAUUUAUUUGAAAAGGAAAUUAAAGAGAAAAAUUAUAAUAAUGAAGUUAACGAAAUCAGAGAGAUGUGCAAGGAUUUUAUAAAGGAGCUAAUUAUCCAACUCAGAGAAAGACUUCCAGAUAAUUUUGAGACAUUAGAAAAACUUAGAAAAUUAGAAAACACAAAAACAUUAGAAAGUUUUUGCAGCAGAAAAUGUACUCGAACAUAAUAAAAAUCAUAAUGAUCUCAUUUCCAUAUUGGAACACUUUAACUAUAAGAAUAUAGAUGGAAUUCUUGCCCAAUAUGGCAAAAUUCAAUUAGUCCCUUGGCAAAGUACAGAUGACACGAUACAAUUUUGGUCAGAAGUACUGACUUAUAAAGAUGCUGGCAAAAACAAGCCUUUUGAAGAAAUCGCUUUAUUUGCCAUUGGCAUUUUAAGUCUACCGUGGUCAAAUGCUGCUAUUGAACGUGUAUUCAGUCAAAUGAAUAUUGUUAAGACCAAGCUAAGGAACAAAAUGACCGUUAAAUCCUUAAACUCAAUAUUAAAUAUAAGAUAUGGAUUGCGCCGUCAUGGAAAAUGUUGUCACAACUAUCAAUUACCGGAGAAAUAUUUAAAUUUAAUACGUUCCAGCGAUAAAUAUACCGAUUCAAGCAAUAGCGAAUUGGAUGAAAUAAUAACACAAUUAUAAAUGUA